UGCCACCUCCCUGGUGCUCUGCUUGCAGGCUGGGCCUGGGGCUCUCCUGAGCCACAAACCCUGGCUUCCUCCCUCUCCCCUCUUCCUUCCCCGCCCCCUACUUCUCUUCCAGACUCCUGUUUCCCUACCGCAUUCCUCCUCCCCUUCCCUUUUCUCCUUUUCUUCCUGUCUCCCUUCCCCUUUUCUUCUCUCCUCAAAAACCCUUUCCAGGCUGGAGUAAGUCUCUCUCCCUUCAUCCAGCCUUUGCUUGAGAGUCAGCUGAAUUCUCCCAAGGACUUUGGCUUUGUUUCCGUCCGAUCAGCAGCCUCCAGAAGGUAAUGAGCACUGUGCCCCGCCUGCUUCAAUGGGGGAGGAACGGUAUGGAAUUGGGAGGGACGAGAAAAAGUUCCUAUCUAAAACCCCCUUUCCCUCCACCACACUGAUUUGACUUUGGAACAGUUUUGUGGAGCACAGUUCAGGGAAACUCUGCAAGUGCUUCCCAUGGUCUCUUGCAAAACCAGCGGGUGCCAAGGAGGUGCCAGAGUGACCUCUGGGCUCACAAUCUGUGACAGACAGUAAGACAGUCUGGAAAUACUUUCAUCUCAGCCCUUCAAGGGAUUAGGUACUAAAGGGGAGGGAGGGUAGAGCCUGGGAAUCCCAGCUGACCUGGAGUCACUGAGUCCCGGGGGGCCGAGGGCCGAUGGGAGAGGAGUUGCUGUUCUUGGCGGCUGUUUGAAAACUUUCAUACAAGAUCGCAUCAUUCUUCAUCCCGUUCACUUGUGUUUCCACAGGUACUGCUUUCUGAGGGUCUGGGUGGCUCCUUGGAAAAGGGGUCUGGGUGGCUCCUUGGAAAAGGAGUCUGGU
rnacentral:lncRNA from 1 species